UGAGUUUCUGUCCUAAAUGGCUAGGGUGA
rnacentral:piRNA from 1 species